GAAGCAUUUAAAAUGGCAAUUCUGCAACCAGGGCCACCGGAAAACUUUGCCCUCCGGAUAGUUCAGGAAGUCAUAAAACCUCAGAAACGAACAAAGUUAGUGCAAGAUGAGAACCAGCUUCUUGAAAAUAUUCUUCGGACGUUACUACAG